rnacentral:pre_miRNA from 1 species
AGCUCCCUGUUGGAGAAGCAGGGCACGUGCAAAGACCCUCGUGUCCAGUGAGUUUGCACGUGCUCCCCUUCUCCAACAAGGGUUC